UCAUUUCAACACCAGACACCCAAAAGGCAGAGGUACUGUGACGAGGCACAAUUCAUUUAAAUCUAAUGGUGACAUACGUGGCGUCUUUGCUGCCAUGUUCCCGAUUCACAGCUUGCAAAGUCAUUCACCUGUGGUGAAAAGAAAACGGCAUAUGUCGCCAAAUAUGGCAUCGCCUCAUUCAUCAAAAAGCAGCUAUCGCGCAGCGUUAGUGAGAAACCAUAUGUUGUCAUGUUUGACACACGUAUGAAUAAAAGGACAAAGAGCAAACAAAUGGACCUUCAUUUGCGAUUCUGGACGACUGAUGAUGAGACUGGCACACCCCACGUCAUCUCCCGCUACUAGGGGUCGGAGUUCAUGGGUCGCUCCAGAGCUGAGGACAUGUUGGGUCAUUUCAAUGUAAGUAACGUUACCAUUGUGUUUGCUGUAAAAUUGAGUAACCUUAGUGCGGUUUAAAGCUCGUAUGCUACCGGUGCAAAAUUCACCAUUGCAUUUAUAGGCCACACGCAUAUAAUUAUAUAAUGAUUAACGUUAAUUAUCGCGUGUGUUUGUGUAUGUUUGCAUUUUAUUGUUUAGGUGUAAAUAUGUGAAUACAUAUUCGUGUGUGUGUGUCAGGGGUUUUGAUGGAUGUUUUUGAUCUCUCUGCUAUAUAAGCACAACCAUUAUUAUUAUUAUUAUAUAAUGUGGAUUACUUGGCACAUUAAAUUGAUCUUUUUUUUUUUUUUCCCAAUGUGAAAGGUAGAAAGGAGCUGAAUCUGAACAAUAUGCUAUAUCUCUGUCAAUGGACCCGCUGUUAACUGUAAGUUUGUUGAACUCUUGCAAGAGGAACACAGAGAGCAGUGUGGUGGAGCCCAACUACAAAUAAUUGGGAGUUGUGGCCUUCACACGAUGCACAACUCGUUCAAGAACGGUUUUGCGGUGUGGCAAGUUGAGAAAGUCCUGAAAGCCCUGCACUACCUGUUUCAUUGUGCUCCUGCAAGGAGAGAAGACUUUGUUAGGGACCAAGUGUGAUACAUUUCCUUUGCCAUGUUGUGGACAUCAAUGGCUGGAAAACCUUCCAGCAGUGCAGAGAGCCAUUGAAAUGUGGCCAUAUAUUGUCACCUAUGUGGAUCAGGUCAAAGCCAAGAAGCUCCCCAAUCCAAGGUCAUCGUCAUGUGACACCAUCACAGAAGCCCGGAUGAUCCUUUAAUCUUGGCAAAGUUGCACUUCUUCAUGAGUGUCUCAAGAAGUUUUCAGCCAUUUCCCACCAAGUACCAGACAGAUGUCCCGAUGAUUCCCUUCCUCGGCAGGGAUUGAGGAUCUAAUCAGGACGCUUCAUAAAGCGAGACGUCCAGGUUGAUGUUGCCCCAGUAAAGCUGGUCAAGUUUGAUGUGACAGACCAAAAGCUUUGGGUCAGUCCAAAGCAAGUGGGCAUUGGCAUGGGAGCCACAGCUGCCCUCAAGGCAGUCAGAGUGGUGGAAGUGAGCGUGAUGUGUUACUGUUCAUGCGAGACAGCCAGAGUGCUCGUUCAAAAAUGUGUCCGAACAUUCUAUUGAAGUGCCCCCUGAAGUACCCCUCUGUCCGAAAUAUGAUGUGCCUGGACCCCCAAAAGAUGCAAAGAACCAGACAUGUGCCUGCAAAAAAUGAAGGCCCUCGUCGUAAAAUUUGUGCAGGAUAAGAAGCUGUCAGGAGUCACAGCGGGUGAUACGAUUGCCCAACAAUUUCAGAAGUUGCUCUUCAGUGAGGCCAGAGGAGAGGAAUUCAUGGCCUUCAGUGCAUUGGAUGGAAAAUCGCGAGUUGACAGCUUCCUGCAUACGGCCAUGAAUGGAUAUGCAGAACUUGCAGAACUUGCUGCUGCUUCUGUCCCAUGGACAAGCUACUGUGGAGCGUGGGUUCUCCAUUAACAAGGAGGUGGAGAUGUGCAAUAUGAACGAAGACACUAUAGUCUCACAGAGACUAAUCUGCGACUAUGUGAGGAUGUGUGGUGGAGUGGUCAAAGUGCCAUUGACUAAAGAGCUGCUAAAUGAGGUUGCAUCUGCACGCAACCGGUACAGGAUCUUCUUGGAAGAUGAGAGGAAGAAAAAAGAAAAGACAAAACAGACGAACAAAGAGAAAAGGGGUUGAAGACGAGCUUGAAGAGCUACGCAAGAAAAGAAGAACAAUCAACUGUGUGUGAAACUCUAGAAAAGGACGCAGAGAAGGCUGA